rnacentral:rRNA from 1 species
CUACGGGGUGCAGCAGUGAGGAAUAUUGCACAAUGGGGGGAACCCUGAUGCAGCAACGCCGCGUGGAGGAUGACGCAUUUCGGUGUGUAAACUCCUUUUAUAUGCCAAGAAAAUGACGGUAGCAUAUGAAUAAGCACCGGCUAACUCCGUGCCAGCAGCCGCGGUAAUACGGAGGGUGCAAGCGUUACUCGGAAUCACUGGGCGUAAAGGACGCGUAGGCGGGUUGGAAAGUCAGGUGUGAAAUCCUACAGCUUAACUGUAGAACUGCACUUGAAACUUCUAAUCUAGAGGAUGGGAGGGGGAGAGGGAAUUAGUGGUGUAGGGGUAAAAUCCGUAGAUAUCACUAGGAAUACCUAAAGCGAAGGCGAUCUCCUGGAACAUUACUGACGCUAAGGCGUGAAAGCGUGGGGAGCAAACAGGAUUAGAUACCCUUGUAGUC